rnacentral:rRNA from 1 species
UACGAAGGGGGCUAGCGUUGCUCGGAAUCACUGGGCGUAAAGCGCACGUAGGCGGAUUGUUAAGUCGGGGGUGAAAUCCUGGAGCUCAACUCCAGAACUGCCUUCGAUACUGGCGAUCUUGAGUCCGGGAGAGGUGAGUGGAACUCCGAGUGUAGAGGUGAAAUUCGUAGAUAUUCGGAAGAACACCAGUGGCGAAGGCGGCUCACUGGCCCGGUACUGACGCUGAGGUGCGGAAAGCGUGGGGAGCAAACAGGGAUUAAG